rnacentral:rRNA from 1 species
AAACUGAAGAGUUUGAUCCUGGCUCAGAUUGAACGCUGGCGGCAUGCCUUACACAUGCAAGUCGAACGGCAGCGGGGGUAGCUUGCUACCUGCCGGCGAGUGGCGAACGGGU